CAGCAGCCGCGGUAAUACGAAGGGUGCAAGCGUUAAUCGGAAUUACUGGGCGUAAAGCGUGCGUAGGCGGUUUGUUAAGUCUGUUGUGAAAUCCCCGGGCUCAACCUGGGAAUGGCAAUGGAUACUGGCAAGCUAGAGUGUGUCAGAGGAUGGUGGAAUUCCCGGUGUAGCGGUGGAAUGCGUAGAGAUCGGGAGGAACAUCAGUGGCGAAGGCGGCCAUCUGGGACAACACUGACGCUGAGGCACGAAAGCGUGGGGAGCAAACAGGAUUAGAUACCCGCGUAGUCCCUGUCUCUUAUAC
rnacentral:rRNA from 1 species